UUUAAGAACAGCAGAAACAAGACAGACUUGAAGAAUAAACCCUGAGGAGAAUCUGAGCAAUUAUUACAUGAUCAUCGUACGUUUUCUGAAAGGUUCUCUGGUGAUAACAAGAUUUUGGAGUACUAGAUAAAGAAUCAUUAACGGCUUAUUUUAGAAUUUCGGAGAAAUGGUUUGCUAAAUUAAACCGUUGCCGUGAUAAUUAAGUUCGAUUCGACAAUUAGCUAGUUAAUCAGUGUGUGAUGAAGAUGGAUUGUGGAGAAAGAAAGCAUAAAUGGAAUGUGUUUGAAGAUGUGAAAAACAUAACUAAUAUAGCUCCGGAAGCACUUAUGGCGGAGAUAAAUUCUGCUAUUUCUGCCCUCGAGUACGCUCGGGCUGCUUCUUCUUCGGUACGAUCUUCAGUUGCUUCUGCUUCAAAACCGAAAGCACUUAUCAGAAGUUGAUUACUUUUUUCAAAUGCUAUACGAUGCUCGAAUAGUGGCCAAUGAACUUAGAUUUUGUUCUUGAAUGUUGUUUCUUUCGUUACACAGAUUUCGUUACUUUAUUUUUUUCUGUGCUCACGAAGAUUGUAUUUGAGAUUUUUUGCCUGAAAAUUCUGUGCACGGAUAGCAGGGUUCUUGAUUUUAGGAAGGAAUGCACGAUGAAAUUUUGAAUUUGGGCGUUACGUUUAAUUUA